rnacentral:rRNA from 1 species
CUACGGGAUGCUGCAGUGAGGAAUUUUGCGCAAUGGGGGGAACCCUGACGCAGCAACGCCGCGUGAGUGAUGAAGGCUUUCGGGUCGUAAAGCUCUGUCAAGUGGGAAGAACCUAUGCAGUGUUAAUAUCACUGUAUACUGACGGUACCACUGAAGGAAGCACCGGCUAACUCCGUGCCAGCAGCCGCGGUAAUACGGGGGGUGCAAGCGUUAUUCGGAAUCAUUGGGCGUAAAGGGCACGUAGGCGGCUUGGUAAGUCAGAUGUGAAAGCCCGGGGCUUAACCCCGGAAGUGCAUUUGAUACUGUCAGGCUUGAGUAUGGGAGAGGGAAGUGGAAUUCCUGGUGUAGAGGUGAAAUUCGUAGAUAUCAGGAGGAACACUGGUGGCGAAGGCGACUUCCUGGACCAAUACUGACGCUGAGGUGCGAAGGCGUGGGUAGCAAACAGGAUUAGAUACCCUCGUAGUC